AUGGGCAACCCGGAGAAGCUGAUGGCGCAGAUCUUCGACCUCAAGUUCACGUCCAAGUCGCUGCAGCGGCAGGCGCGCAAGUGCGAGAAGGAGGAGAAGGAGCAGAAGCUCAAGGUGAAGAAGGCCAUCGAGAAGGGCAACGUGGACGGCGCCCGGAUCUACGCCGAGAACGCCAUCCGCAAGCGCACCGAGCACAUGAACUACCUCCGCCUCGCCUCCCGCCUCGACGCCGUCGUCGCGCGCCUCGACACGCAGGCCAAGAUGCAGGCCAUCGGCAAGUCCAUGGGCAGCAUCGUCAAGUCGCUCGACUCCUCCCUCGCCACGGGCAACCUCCAGAAGAUGUCCGAGACCAUGGACAGCUUCGAGCGCCAGUUCGUCAACAUGGAGGUCCAGGCCGAGUUCAUGGAGGGCGCCAUGGCCGGCUCCACCUCCCUCUCCACGCCCGAGACCGAGGUCAACUCCCUCAUGCAGCAGGUCGCCGACGACUACGGCCUCGAGGUCUCCGUCGGCCUCCCCCAGGCCGCAGCCCACGCCAUCCCGGCCGCCAAGGACAAGGAGAAGGUCGACGAGGACGACCUCACCCGCCGCCUCGCCGAGCUCAAGGCCCGCGGCUGA
rnacentral:rRNA from 1 species